CCCACAUCCUGCUGCUUCGCAAGCUCGGCGUUUGUCGCCCGCAGCUCGCCCAGUAUCCUCUCCACGACUUCUUCCGAAUCCGGAUUCACACGGCGGCCGCGUAGGGCACGAGCGUUGACGACGGGCCUCCGUUUGAUGUAGCGCUUCGCGGCGGCGCGGCCAGUGGAGAGAAACCUCUGCCCGCCGUAACCCUCCGCCGCCGCUGCGCCUGCGGCGCGUGCGCUCCGUGCAACUGCCCGCGCCAGGCACUGCAUGGCCGACCUCAGCUCGAGCGCUCUCUGGUUCUUCUCAAGGAUCGGUUUGUUUGUGACAGAUUGAUCUGUUUUGCAAUUGGGCUGGUUCGGUUGUGAGUUUUGUACUCCAAUAUAUAACGUGACGAUCGGACACGGAAUUGAAUCCGCAUAGGAAUCUGAUUGUCUUUUUUCCCCAGCUGGUUCUCCGUUAAUGAAUCAGACUAUACAGAUAGUUAAAUGGUUGUAUUGUGUAGUCUUUUAACUAGUUUUUUCGACAUAUUCAGUAAGGUCAACCUGUGAAUUAUGAGCCAGAUAAGUAGGCUAGCUUAAAUGAUAAUUUGGACAAAUAUUUGUUGCCAGACAUACUACCAGAGCUGAGCCUGACGAGGUGAUUACGUACGUCAGAAAUUCCUUUGGUUUCUCCGGUUGGAGUCCGGGCAGAGUACUACUUAAUUAAUCGAGAUUGUUUUUCCCAUAUCUCAGAAAAACGCGUCAGAUCGUCGUCCUGUCGAUGUGGAGAUCAACACGCGAGUUGGCCGCCGUCACCAGAUUAUUCCUGAUCAAGAUGACUGUCGUCAGGAGAACAUUUCCAAGGAUGCAAAACGAUAUCAAGAUGACUGUCAGGAGAUCACGUUUCCAAGGAUGCAAAACGAGAUAGUCACGCGUGCACCUUCAGAGAAUUGCAGAUACUACAAAAAGUAGUCACCCCGGCAAUGAGUUUGUUAUGACCGGGCUGACAUACAGUGGAAGGAAGAAGGCAAAUGACAGGGCAAGCAACAUGGGCACCCCCACGAUCGAGGCACCAACUGCUCCAGCAACAUGAGGCGAAGUUUAGAGGAGUCAGCUACGUGUGUGUGCAUGUGCUGUAAUCGAGUAUUAGGAGGUGUUUGGUUGGAUGUGUUAAAGUUUGAGAGGUACUGCAAAAUUUUCAAUUAAUCUGACAAUUAAUGUUUAA